rnacentral:lncRNA from 10 species
UUUGGAUUUUGGUCAUUUGUAUAGGGACAUUCUACGGGUAAGAGAAGAAAGCCUCAAGUGAGCCUGCGUACAACUCCAGUAAAUACACAGCACAUGCAGCCCCUUCAAAGUGCUGGCAGGCCACUGCACAUGGACACCCCACUCCAAGAGAACAAUCAGGGAAGAAGGAAGUCAAGACUCCAGAAGCAUGACAACAUAUAAAGCCCGAAGUCAAAAGGUCAGACCUGCACUUCAUCUCUCAAGUCGCCUACUCAGCUCGCUUUCAAGUGUAUUUUCCUCCUUUUCAUUUUUGCUCUAAAGCUUUCAAUUAACAUUCACUCCCACUCUAAAACUUGCCUUGGUCUCUCCUUCUGCCUUAUGCCCUUCAGUUGAAUUUUUUCUUCUGAGGAGGCAAGAAUUGAGGUUACUGUGGUCUCAUACAGAUUCGCUGCUGAUAACAUACUUUGGUGCUUGAGUGACUCAGACAUGUUCCACUGCCAGCAAAAGUGCUUUGUCCAUAAAAGAAGGAAACAAUGGCAAUGGUUGUCCUCCUUUCCUCUUCUGAGCCUCAGAAAAACCCCAGAGAACAAUUAGUUUGUUUAAUAAAUGCGUUCUACUGCAUUGUGCUGAUUUAAGGUACUAGGUAUUUAAAAUAAAACCUAGGGCACAUGAAAAUGUUAGAGUUUGUUAGAGCAGACAGUGACUCAUGAAUCAAGCAGUGCUAGACCCCAAGGGGUUCAGGCCUUCAUUGAGAGGUCUCAAGGGGAAAACUUUUAUAAGGUGUUUGUGGAAACAAGACAAAAAAUGAUACUUGGUUGGUUAAAGUGGAAAGUCCCUAGUUAGAGGUUAGUUGGCAGUUUUGUAUUGGUUAAGCCUAAGUUUCGUUUUAUUUGUUUUCGGGUUGCGUUUUGAUCUGUUUAUGGAGGAACCUUAG